GCUGGGCGUGGUGGCACACGCCUGUAGUCCCAGCUACUCGGGAGGCUGAGGCAGGAGAAUCACUUGAGCCCAGGAGGCAGAGGUUGCAGUGAGCCCGGAUCGCGCCACUGCAUUCCAGCUUGGGCUACAGAGUGAGACUCUGUCUUAA
rfam:Nomascus leucogenys chromosome 12, whole genome shotgun sequence.